rnacentral:rRNA from 1 species
CACGUAGGGUGCGAGCGUUAAUCGGAAUUACUGGGCGUAAAGCGUGCGUAGACGGUUAUUUAAGUCGGAUGUGAAAGCCCCGGGCUCAACCUGGGAAUUGCAUUCGAGACUGAAUAGCUAGGGUGCGGUAGAGGGAAGCGGAAUUUCCGGUGUAGCGGUGAAAUGCGUAGAUACCGGAAGGAACAUCAGUGGCGAAAGCGGCUUCCUGGACCAGCACCGACGUUCAGGCACGAAAGCGUGGGGAGCAAACAGG